rnacentral:lncRNA from 1 species
GUGGAGGUGUUUAGUAAUAAUGCAAUAGAAAAAGUUUGCCAUUAUUUGACUCAUAAAACUCUACUUCCGUCAUUUUUAUCUAUUAAAAGUUCAAUUAUCCCCAGGAUAAGGUUUCCAAUUAGAAUAAGGUAUGUGUCUUAUCAUUGAACCUUAUCUUAAAAACUUGGUUUCGUGGGAUGUAACUAACGCUAUUAAAAUACCUUAGUGCUACUUAAAAAAAACCUUUGCCGAGCAGAGC